AUCCCUCCAUGGCCUCUGUAUCAGCUCCUGCCUCUAGGUUCCUGCCCUGUUUGAGUUCCUGUCCUGACUUCCUUUGACAAUGAACUAUGAUGUGUUAAGCAUAAGCUGAGCAAACCCCUUUCUUCCCCAACUUUCUUUUGGUCAUGGUGUUUCACUAUAGCGAUAGAAACUCUUAACUAAGGCAGCUGCGAUGCAAUAUUACUGUAAGAACAUUUAUUUUGGGAGCUGAAGUAGCUGUAACUCAGUUCCUGAUAUGACAACAUGUCUCCUAACAUGGACAGGAAACAUGUUUGUCUAUUGACAUGAAGGGCCCUCUGGUUCUUGAUUCUCUCUGGAGACAGGCAGGGCAAGCUAUAGAAAGGUCCAUAGAAACCAGCUAACAGCCUGUAGUCACUGAGAACUGUUCCUCCAGGAGAAAAUCUGGGAGCCAGGGGGAUAUGGCUUGAUGGUUCCUUCUUUAGGAGUGUUGGAUAAAUGAUGCUUGGUCCUACUGAACAAGCAGGAGAGUCAGGAAGCCUCGUCCUAUGUACUCCCGAGGGUUACGCUGGAGUACAUAACCCAGAUGAAAACAAAUCUCACUAAACAAGUGCCAGGCAAGGGUCUGAAUUCUUUAGCCCCUUGCAACUACCUGUAAUUAGCAAUUGUGGAAAUAUGAGCAUGGGCCUUAAGUAACGACCCAGAUGUGGCAUUGAAGGUAGCACGGGCCUUUGUCCAAAGUUGGGAGGCUUUCUCAGAACUUUGUUCUGUUUCUGUUUCUCAUGGUGUAAGCAUUCACGAGGAAUGCUUUUACUCAGUGCCUAGCCAUGGCCUGGCUAAGUCACUUGGCCUCUUUGAGCCCAGUGUUUCUAUUUCAACUACCUGGCAGGACUAUGUGAAGGUUGAGAGACCAAGGUAGCGUUGCUGAAUUCAACAUGUGGCAGUUAGACGUUUCACGUGGAAGUGCUUCCAAAACAACCACAGAAGCCUACACAGCCAAAGAUGACCUUGAACUCCUGGUGGACUUGUCCAAAGCAGCAUCUCAGGGCAGGGAGUGUCCCCAGAGGCCAUCAGCUCUGCACUAUUGUAACCUCACAGUGUCACCUCUAAAACAGUCUCUUGAGACCAGCUUAGGAAUUCCACAGGUCUGAAUUUCUACUUCAACCUUCCCUGCUUUCUGUGUGACCCUGCACCAAGGCCAGGGCCCUGUGACCUCAGAGCUAGAGUUUCAAAAGCUCUGAAUGAUGGGUAAUCCCACUGCCCAAGGAUGUAUUGCCUGAGAGAAUUGGAUCAUGGGAAACCAUGUGCUGCCACCCUCCUGUGCGUGUCGUAGGUUCUCAAGAAGUAGCAGCUACAUUCUCCAUCCAGUUUGGAAAGCCUGGGCUAGGUCAGGCUGGGGAUCAUGGCUUCUUCUUAUCCCUUGAGAUCCCAAGUCUCUGACCAGAGUCUCUUUCACGCACAUCCUGGGACUUAGUGGCAUCUCUCAACCUCCUCACAUGCUCUCGUCUACAGAUAGAACUUCCCCGACAAACUGCUAUUCGGUCACUGUGAAUAUCUAAUAGGAAGGAUUUAUUUAAGCUCGAGGUUUGAGGGUACACUUCACCAUGGUGGGGGACUCCUUGAGGCUGCAUGUUCAUGUCGAGACUGGCUGGGAAGGGGAGCUGGAAGCUGAGCUGGACUCUAAACCUCAAGGUCUGCCCCCCCCACCACUCAAUUCAUUUCCUUCAGUAGAUCUCUUCUCCUAAAGGUUCUAAAAUGUCCCCUCAAAGCACAGUCAUCUGGAGACCAAGUGUUCAAACACAGGAGCCUGUGGCAGACAUUCUGCAUUCAGAUCGGAAUACUAGGCCUACAACAGUUUGUCUGUAGUCUGAAUACAGUUGUAUCACCAUGCUGUUGUCCAUCUUGGUGAUUGACUACGUUUAAUACUUAUGUGGUCAAUUGUUCUUUAUCAGAU